rnacentral:rRNA from 1 species
AUUGAACGCUGGCGGCAUGCUUUACACAUGCAAGUCGAACGGUAACAGGUUAAGCUGACGAGUGGCGAACGGGUGAGUAAUGCAUCGGAACGUGCCCGAUCGUGGGGGAUAACACUUCGAAAGAAGUGCUAAUACCGCAUACGAUCUGAGGAUGAAAGCGGGGGACCGUAAGGCCUCGUGCGAUCGGAGCGGCCGAUGUCAGAUUAGGUAGUUGGUGGGGUAAAGGCUCACCAAGCCGACGAUCUGUAGCUGGUCUGAUAGGACGACCAGCCACACUGGGACUGAGACCCGGCCCAGACUCCUAGGGGAGGCAGCAGUGGGGAAUUUUGGACAAUGGGCGCAAGCCUGAUCCAGCAAUGCCGCGUGCAGGAAGAAGGCCUUCGGGUUGUAAACUGCUUUUGUACGGAGCGAAAAGGCUCCCUCUAAUACAGGGGGCUCAUGACGGUACCGUAAGAAUAAGCACCGGCUAACUACGUGCCAGCCGCCGCCGUAA